AUUUGCCUCUUCCGUUCAGUAAGAGAGUUAAAAUGGAGAUCGUCGGUUUGUAAAAUCGAUUGGAAUUCAUGGGGUUUUCAGUUUAUCUGUGGCCGUCUGAAAAGUUAAAAAAAACCUUUAAUCCGGAGCUGAACGUAAGUGCUGCAGCAAUAAGUGGAAUCAAUAUUAUGUAAACCAAUUUACUGGUCAUUACAUGCUACAUUAUUUACAAGUCAAACCCAUUUUCGACAAACUCCAGCCAUUUUUAAUCGAACCGAAUCGUGCAUAGUUUGUCUCCAUAAAUAUGGAGUGAAAAAGUGUUUUAAAAUACAAUUUUCGCCUAAGUUUAUGCUUCACCGGCUGUUUAAUGUGAAAUGAAUGCAUAACGUUAGUAAACAAACCGAUAUAGGCAACAGAGGAUCUCGAGGAAGUUUUUUGCGAGGACUAAUCAAGGCCAUUUAUUUUCGAAGAACAGUUUUGAGAACGUUGAUGGAAAAUUCCUUUGGAUUCAAAUUUUUCUGUUUAGAAUUUUCGCUUUCCAAUAUAAUCCCAGCAACAUCUUAUUUUGAAUCCCCGAACAAAUGGGGAUGAAAUUGGAUUUUGGAAUUAUCAACCGCAAACCAAGAAACUCGAAUUAUGGCAGCAUUGUAUUGAACAGUGAGCAAUAUACGAACGAAAGUGUCUGAAUUAUAAAAACCAAGGCCCGAAUAUCUAGGCCUUUCACACUACGUUCUCAGAGUGACCACAUUAACUUGGUGGAUGCUGCCCAAACGAACAAAAAAUCUGAUCUCCUUCUCAUUGACAAUAAUUCGAUGACUUUGUAUCCCAUCUAAGAAUUCAGA